GCCAGCCACGCUUCUCAGUCCUCACACUCUUUUCUCCCCAUCAGUUGUCACGACCCCAGCGGCAGAGGCGGCGCGUGUGGAUGUCACGGCCCCGGCGACUAAGGGUGGCGCGUGGAGGUGGUCGUCCCGGCGGCCAAUGGUGGUGAGCGGACGUCGCGGCCUAGUGAGGAGCCGACGUUGGCAUAUCUCUUCAGGAGACUGCUUGAAGACGCGGCCUCAUCACCUGCCCUCACUCGCCGAGCUCCAGAUCGACGCGUGAUAGAGGUCAUCCACUUGGCCUAGAUCCAUCCAAGGGCGGCGUGGUGGAGGUCGCCCGGCCUGGAUCCAGCCAAGGGCGACGCGGAGGAGGUCGCCCGUCUUGGAUCCGUCCUUGCCCGCGAUGCGGAGGAGGCCGCCUAGCCUCGUUCCGGCCUCUGUCUCUCAUCCUCCCGGAACUGCUCGCUGCAGCGGACCACCUCGCCCUUAGGCACUAUACAGUUUGUACUCUUAAGGCAAGUGGUAUAUUCUGUUGCUUCAAUUGGAGUAAAUAUGCCAGGUGGCUGCUUCAAAUGUGUUGUCGCAUGAGUCAAUCAAGUGAAAGAUUGUGAUUUGGUGAAAGCAACAAUACUACGAGUAACUUAUAAGUUUAUGAACCGUGGUUUAUAUAUUUUUAAGUCUUUGAUUUUGUGCAAGAUCAACAGCUUUUUGAAACAAUGAUAAUUUGGACUGCAUUGAACAUGCAAAUGUUGACACAUGCAUCUUGGAAAAUUUCUGUGAAAUUGACCGUUCAUCAUACCAUGAUUUAAUUAUUAGUCUAUAUAUUUAUUGUUAUUAGUUAUAAGUCUAAUAUUGCUAUUCUUUUAUUUAUAUAUGAAUUUUCUAGACAAGUGUGUGUUGCACGUGCAUUUCCACUAGUAUAAUAUAAAAAUUGUGAAGACAAGAUUGAGAAAUUAUAUCGGGUAUCACAGAUGGAUUUAUGAAUAACCGUAUCAUAUGCUUCACGGUACCAAUUUUUUUGGCUUCGCCCCUGUUUGUGAACAUGUAAUAAACAUGCACAAAAAUCUACAAAAACUACAGCAGCUAGCAUAUGUUUCCAGUAGACUACUACCAAAUUUUCAUAGCAUUCUACCAUGGAUAACUUGCUAACUUGCUAUACUCACAAACAUAGAAUGUUCUGGACACAAGUAUAGAAAUAUCUGAAUUAUUUGGUGUUAUUGUUGCUAGGCUCAAAGGCUUAUGUUGCUGAACCAACAAAAGAAGGUAAAGAUCCGAACACUCCUCCAAGCUAUAGCUCAUGUUCUGCCGAAAUCAACGAUUCUUCGCAAUGUCGGCCUGCAGUCCACAGAGAUGUGCUGCUACUGUCGUGGGUGUUGUGCUGUUACUGCAGUUGUGUUGCUGCUGCAAUUAUGUUCCAGCAAGUUGAAAUUUGAGACUUAAGACUUAUCUGAUGUGUAAUGAAUUGGUGGAUGGAUGUAAUGGUAUUAAAUUUGAAUCUGAUUUUGUAUGUGUUGAAAAAUUAUAUGAACACAAUUGCAUAUGAUGAAAUAUUGUAUA